rnacentral:rRNA from 1 species
CCAGACUCCUACGGGAGGCAGCAGUGGGGAAUAUUGCACAAUGGGGGAAACCCUGAUGCAGCGACGCCGCGUGAGCGAAGAAGUACCUCGGUAUGUAAAGCUCUAUCAGCAGGGAAGAAGAUGACGGUACCUGACCAAGAAGCUCCGGCUAAAUACGUGCCAGCAGCCGCGGUAAUACGUAUGGAGCAAGCGUUAUCCGGAUUUACUGGGUGUAAAGGGAGCGCAGGCGGCCUUGCAAGUCUGAUGUGAAAGGCCGGGGCCCAACCCCGGGACUGCAUUGGAAACUGCGAGGCUGGAGUGUCGGAGAGGCAGGCGGAAUUCCUAGUGUAGCGGUGAAAUGCGUAGAUAUUAGGAGGAACACCAGUGGCGAAGGCGGCCUGCUGGACGAUGACUGACGCUGAGGCUCGAAAGCGUGGGGAGCAAACAGGAUUAGAUACCCCAGUA